UGUGAUGUAUGCCACUCAAAUGUUAUUUAAUCCUAAUAUUUCUGAAGUUGUUGAAUUCAGACAGAGUAUGAUUGAGCAAGGUGUCAAUGGUACCCAGCCACUGUUUAUUGCAAAUGAGGGUAAAGUUCUCUCCUUGGAAGAUGAUUUCAUGCGUUUAACUAGAAAAUGCACUAUUGAAGAGCUUCAAGAUAACAAUCAGGAGGGUUCUUUUAUCAUUUUUGGUGCAAUCCAAGGUAUUGUUGAGGAUGAAGGUUGGUGGUAUUCUGCUUGUGUGUGUGGAAAGGGUAUCUAUCCUUAAAAUGGUGCAUAUUACUGUGAUUUUUGUUUGAAGCACAUAACUAAUGUCACUCCAAGAUUUAAAAUUAAAAUAACAGUUGAAGAUCAUAUUGGGGAGGGUAUUUUCCUUCUCUUUGAUCGUGAGGCUUCUUAUUUGCUUAAGAAAUCAUGUGCUGACUUGUUUACUGAGGUUCAAAGAGAUGCAAGUCUUAUAUGUGGGGAUACUUAUCCUCUCAUAUUCCAAGGGCUCAUUGGAAAGAAGUUGCUGCUCAAGGUUGAUACCAAAGGUGUCCCACAUGAUACAUUUUAUGGGACUUUCUGAGUUAGGAGAAUUUGUGAUGAUUCCACCAUUAUUGCGAUGUUUGAACUUCCCAAUUAUGAUGCUGAUGACGAGUCUACUCCAAAAAAGGAGCAUGAUUUACACAAAUCUGUUCUUUGUGGA